CACAACACGAAUGGCAUCUGAAGGUUCUUGUCCGUUCAACGCAGAUUUUCUUGCCGAUGUUAAACUUUCAACCUUCAGAAGUAAAAGAUAUGGAUAGCAAAGGGAAAGAUAAUGUCAAUGUACAUUUUAAAUUACAGAUGCUAUUUUUAAUUGGAUAUGAUCAUUUUGUGAUACGGAACUAGAUUUAUUAACUUCAACGACAUCUCAAUCCCAGGGGGUGACGACAAAGGUUUCACGGAAAAUUUAUGGCAAUGUAAUUUUUGGUUCCAGAGGAUUUUCGCACUCGGUGAUGUUGCUUUGAGCUAUUCAAAAUGAUGCCUACCUCGGAAAAUAAACUGUGAAUGUUUAUUUCAAUAAGCUGGCCAUAGUUAAAUCUAAGGAUUCAAAAAAAGUCGUAUGGAUAAUUUUUGAGCAAGCGCCUUGCAUAAGGAUGUUUCACCAGUACCGGUUGGCUCUGUGAAAGUUUUAAAGAAAAGCUCAACUCAUUCUUCUGGAUAUUUGCAGUAGAUCACGUGAAGACAAACAUGAUGUACUAUGAGUGGUAAAUGCUGGUGUUUGAUUGGCUUCGUUGUUUGUUUUCAAGUGACGUCACAGCGGUACACAAACAUGGUAGCCUUGACGUCAUUUAAUAGUUGGCUCGUUAAAACACCAUCACGUCUCUCGCGUUUCAUUCUAUCUGAUUGUAGCUAACUUAUUCUUAUCAAUACUUUGAUAUGUGAUUUUUCAAUCUUGAA